rnacentral:lncRNA from 1 species
AGCUUAUCAUUUAUGUGGAAGGGGCCAUGUUGGAUAGACCAAUAGGUGUAGUUGAAGCCGUAGUGCCAGUGGUCAGACCCUCCAACUACUAUGGUGUCAGCCUCACUAACUGCCACCAUACAUGCAGUUAGAAGAAGGAUGAGUCCGGGUGCGGCAAAGCUGGUACCCAUCUUCAUUUUCUUUGCUGGAAUGAGCCUGAUUAGCAACUCAAGCAGAAUGAGAUGGUGGGAGAUGGAAGUGUAACCUUAUGGGCCGGGUCUACAUAUAGGGUCUUUGGUCACACUGUUCGAUGCCUUAUUUUCUACCUUGGUGGCAGAAGGUGGACGAGAAAAAGUUGUAAAGCUUAUGGGUCAAUUCUGUAUUUGCAUGAUUAUGCUCAAUACCAAGGUUUAAUUUAUAAUUAUUUAAGUAGUUCUUUUUCCUCAAAUAUACACCUCUUCUAGAUGCCGCAUAUCAGUGGUGGCAGAGGCCUGUAUAAGAUAGCCAGUGGAAAAGAGAGGGUAUCAACUUUAGUGGUACAAAUUUCUUUGGCAGAUGGAUUGGAAAGUAUUAAAGUAUUCGUACAUAUAAAUCCCAAUAUCUACAUCAAUCCAAUCAAAACAUUUGAUGGGGUAUGAUUCUUAAAUUCAGAGGCACAACCAUCCAAGGAAAGUAACACUGAAAUAACCUACCAAAAGCGCAGUAAGUUCAAAUGGGCACAGUUUCGCUUAUGUAUGAUGUUCAAUUCUACUUAUGACUUCUAGAUUGUUGCAUUACUAAAAUUUAUACUUGGGUGUGUUCCCAACAUUUUUCCAAAUCAUGAGACGACUCCACUUUGAAGGUGGCUUGCGGUUUCGAAGAAUAGUUUGCAGACUUUUAAACCAUGGCUCCCCGAAUCAUGGCCGCUUUAUUUGACGAAACUUGAGUGCUAAUUGGAACUAACCAAUGACAAUGAGAUUUAGUGUAUAGCUAGCUUCUAGAUAGCAAUGGUGGCACCUCCAUCUACAUGAUUCCGCCACACACCACUUAUUAUUUAUAGUCGGGGUACCUGUGUAUAUGACGUUGCUAGGAAAGUUUGGCAAAUUUUGGGUUGGAAAGAAAGCCAUUCGUCGUAGAAAGUCUCCAUUUUCCUAGUGGCUCCAUUUUUGAGAUGGAUUACCUUUCACAAUUACGGAAGGCAAAUGGAUAGAUAUCUUCAAGCUCCACAACUCUCCAAACUGGGGUGUGCAUGUCCUUCGGCCUUGCGCUUUCAAGUCUUAAGUCUUUAAGUGCAUUGAAAUCAACAACUUUUUGAGAUACUUAACUUGUCCACAUGCCUACUUGAUCAUGACUUUUUGGAUCCCUUAUCCACCCUUUAUUUUUAAUCAUUUUUAAUAUUUAUAUAACUAUUUUCUAAAAUAAUUAUAAAAAAAUUAAAAAACAUUCUUUAGAAUCUCCAUAUUUCUUAUAUUUAAAAACAAAAAACCGUUUCAUAUUUUUUCAUUAUUAAACUUUUUUUUUUCUAUUUUUUAUUUUAAAGAAUAAAAAUUAUUUUUCAAAACGACUCUAAACAGGAUCUAUAUUUGUUUUCAUUUUUCUUUUUUUCUGACUAAUUUAUUAUUUGUUAAUGUCAGGACACAAGCAAUAAUAAAAUUAAUGAACAGAAAAUAUUAUAAUUUUUAUUUCUUUGUAUGGUAUUUCCUUUCCAAGGUAGGUAAAGUCAGGACAGUUGACCCGGAUGUCCACAGAGUUCAAACUUCCGCCAAAGGGUAGAAUCAAUGGGCAUAGCAUGGACCCAAGAGUUGACGUCAUUCACUUGAGUGUAUACACAUGCUACUUGAAAAAUAUGCUGUGGAAACUUGGCUGGGAUUAAAAAAUCCUUGGGUAUACAGCAAUGAAGACAAUACUUGUCAAAAAGUGGUACACGACUCUUGCAUAAUUUGGUCUUCCUUUUAUUUUUCACUUAUGUCUUAUUUAGUUAUAUGAUACUCUAAUAUUUUUCUUAUACUUUUGUUUCAUUUAUUUGCGAUAUCAAAUCUAAAUUAUAUAUUUUUAACGGUUGAGAUCACUCAGACAUUUUUUUAAAAAAAAUUGUAUUUAAUCAAACAAAAAUACUAAUUGAUUGGUCUUAAGCAAAUGAUUAUUCUUCACACACUCAAAAUUUUUUAAAUUAAGUUAUUUUUUGUCCCUUUAUUUCAUACCACUUGAGCAGAAUACGAGUGUUUGAUAAAUUAAUUUAUAUCAAUCUUAUUUAUUUAUUUAUUUUUAUAAUAUAAUUUUAAAUUUAAAGAAGAAUAAAUUAAUUAUUUUGAUUUAAUAUUUAAAGUCAUUUUUAACUUUAAUAUGCAUCAUUAAGUUAUUUUAAUGAUUAUAUUUAAUCUAUUUAAUAAUUUAACUUAAAUUAUUAAAUCACUUAUUAAAUUAAUUUAUCAAAGUACUAGGCCAUCACAAGCAGAAGAGAAAAAUCUCUGAUAUUUAUGAUAAAUUGGAUCCACAUCCCAAAUGAUUCCAUUAUUCUCAAUAAUUAACCAAGCAAAAGUUGUAGACACGUACAAACGAAAACGGGAAGCAUGCGGCCAACUGUGCCAUCCCUAGGUUGAAAUCUAUCAUCAUUUUCCCCAGCGAGGCAGAGGCACAGCAAAGAAUUUCAUCCGCCCAUCUCCGCAUUGGGAGCCAUCUUCCUCUCCUGAAGCAAAAUAGUGAGGCCUCCAGUUUGUGAGCUCAAACACAAACCCCUUCCCACCACCUUGCUGCGGAUUAGCCAACAGCUUCGCUUGACUGAAGUCGCAAGUUACAAAGCUCCAAAGGUUUGGUAGCAAGUAUACGCUAUGCCGUGGGUAGUUCUUGCUUGGUGGAUUGUACUUGAACACUGUAAAUAAUUAGUAAAAACAUAAAACCCAGGAUUAGCAAUAAAUAAUAAUUUUCGGAGUAUUCAUAUAGAAAGUAUAUAGUUCUGACCUAGCUUAUCAUUUAUGAAGAAAGGGCCAUGUUGGAUAGACCAAUAGGUAUAGUUGAAGCCGUAGUGCCAGUGUUCAGACCCUCCAACCACUAUUGUGUCAGCCUCACUAACUGCCACCAUGCAUGCAGUUAGAAGAAGGAUGAAUCCAGGUGCGGCAAAGCUGGUACCCAUCUUCAUUUUCUUUGCUGGAAUGAGCCUGAUUA